UCUCUACUGUACUCUGUGUGUGUGAACAUGUCUGCUGAUCUGAGCUGAAGAAUCAACUAUUGGUCUAUUGCAAACAACUAACCUGGAGGUUUUAAAACUGGUAAAGGCUUGAUUCUCUCAACCACUCUUGGACUGAUGGGCAAAGGAUAUAGCAAGGAAGAGUUCACAUGAAGCACACCUUUGUGAUUAGAUUGCAAUGAUUAGGAAUUACAAUAAGAGCAAUCACGCCCAACAAGAAAACAGUCUCCAUCAACAGGUGAUAGCUGAUUUGGUGAUGCAACUCAGUUCUUACAAGAACCUCCGACUUAAGGUUGCUUCCUGCUCUGAUCAAUUUGAAUGACUGGUUCUGUUAAAUACAGAUGGUCAUUCUUUCCUCUCAAGUAAAACAAGUUGAGUCUGCUGGGAACAAUGGACUGAGAUUUGCAUUCAUUGUGGUCAGUGUCAGAAAACAGGGUAUGGGAUCAACAACCUUGCUUAUUAGUUUUUGGCAAGCCUGAUUAGAAAAACAAGGUUCGGGUUUAGCCUUAAGGAUGUUGAACCGCCACAUCAUGAGAUUUUAGAAGAAACCUGGUUUCAGUUCUUCGUUAUCAUUUUGAAAUUGCUAAUCAUGUUCUCUUAUAUACAAUACAAUGCAAUGCAAUGCAA